GUCAGUAGUCUGGCUGCUGCAUUUUGUACAGUCAGAAGGCGAUGGAGUUCCUUUUCUGGGAGGCCCAAGUAAAGGACAUUGCAGUAAUCUAGCCGAGAGGACAAAAAUGCAUGGAUUAAUGUUGGCAUAUCAUCCGGUGGAAUUAAAUAUUGUACAGCUAUGUUUAUCAGAUGAAAGUUGGCAGAUUUUAUUAUGGAGGAAAUCUGCUGUUUAAAUGAGAGUCCAGCGUCA